GAUUUCUGGGCUCAAGAAUUUGGCCGGCCACGGUUUCGUGUGUUAGUGCUUGAUGUUCUGGCCAUCCUUCCAAUCGCUAUUGGCUAUUCUUCAUUGAAUGGUCAGUAGUAUUGGAUCUUUUACUUUGAAAAAAUUAGAGUGUUUCAAGCAGGCUUUAUGCUAUGAAUACAUUAGCAUGGAAUAAUAAUUUAGGACUUCGGUUCUAUUUUGUUGGUUUCUAGGACUGAAGUAAUGAUUGAUAGGGAUAGUUGGGGGUGCUAGUAUUCAGCGGCCAGAGGUGAAAUUCUCGGAUUCGCUGAAGACUAACUUAUGCGAAAGCAUU
rnacentral:rRNA from 1 species